rnacentral:rRNA from 1 species
ACUCCUACGGGAGGCUGCAGUAGGGAAUCUUCCACAAUGGGCGCAAGCCUGAGGAGCAACGCCGCGUGUGUGAUGAAGGCUUUCGGGUCGUAAAGCACUGUUGUAUGGGAAGAAAUGCUAAAAUAGGGAAUGAUUUUAGUUUGACGGUACCAUACCAGAAAGGGACGGCUAAAUACGUGCCAGCAGCCGCGGUAAUAC